GCGAGAUUGGCUAAGUGUAGCUAAAAUAGUGUCAUCUUCACAACACCUUCACCACACUUGCACAUCACUUCCAUAAUUUUGUAUUGGUGAUGAUAUUAAACACACUUUUUAGUAAAUACAAAUCACUUGCAAAACUCAAGAAAAAAAGGAAAAUAAUAAUAAUAACUAAAUUGAAAAAGAAAAGCAAAUCACAAAUCUAGAAGAUUCCCUCAACAGAAGAAGCGGGUGCUUUUGGCGCCUCAGUAACCGACCUCACUCACUCUCUGCGAAUGUGAUUCUGAUUCUGAUUCUGCUUCCACAAAAAGAGAGAAUAAAGAGAGAGAAAGGGGAAAAAAAUCAAAUUAGGGUUACAAAUUGGGAUCGAAAGAAGAAGAAGAGGAAUAAUUUCAACUUUCAAACACAAGAGGAUGACGAAGCAGCUUUGUGUUGUGUUCUCCGUUCUGUUCUUCCUGUUUAUUACAUCAGGAACAUGGAAGAUGGUGAGUGGCAACCAUUUGUGUGAAGCAGUUACAGGCAUAGGCAGAAACUGCGUGGACAUUGAGUGCAGGGCUCAGUGUAAUCUCCGAUACCCUCAGGGAAGUACUGGAUUCUGUUUUUACAUUGCUGAGUUUACUCAGUGUAUUUGUCGCUUCAAUUGCUAAAUCAAAUGCUCUGGGGUUUGUAUUCGAAAUCAAUCAAUUCUGUGUAAUUGUAGCUAGUUAUUUAUGUAUGGAUCAAUUGUUUAUAUCUUUUUAUAUUCUGAUUUAAA